AGCCAAGAUUCUAUAGGGUAAAGUACCUAAUUCGGGACAGGCCCGAAAAUUUCUUAUUUGGGACGAAAUAACAUUUUUCAGUUUAAAACAAAAACUAACCCGAGUUUCGAUAAGAAAAGUUGCUGAAAUUAAAGAAAAUGAACGGAUCUACGUUUAUAUACAACUAUGUCAAUGUAGCUGUACAAAUUUUAAAGAUAUGACAAAAAAUAUAUUGGGAAAAA